rnacentral:rRNA from 1 species
AUUGAACGCUGGCGGCAUGCCUUACACAUGCAAGUCGAACGGCAGCACGGGAGCAAUCCUGGUGGCGAGUGGCGAACGGGUGAGUAAUGUAUCGGAACGUACCAUUGAGUGGGGGAUAACGUAGCGAAAGUUACGCUAAUACCGCAUAUACCCUGAGGGGGAAAGCAGGGGAUCGCAAGACCUUGUGCUCUUUGAGCGGCCGAUAUCAGAUUAGCUAGUUGGUGAGGUAAAGGCUCACCAAGGCGACGAUCUGUAGCGGGUCUGAGAGGAUGCUCCGCCACACUGGAACUGAGACACGGUCCAGACUCCUACGGGAGGCAGCAGUGGGGAAUUUUGGACAAUGGGGGCAACCCUGAUCCAGCCAUGCCGCGUGAGUGAAGAAGGCCUUCGGGUUGUAAAGCUCUUUCGGCCGGGAGGAAAUCGCAUCAGUUAAUACCUGGUGUGGAUGACAGUACCGGAAUAAGAAGCACCGGCUAACUACGUGCCAGCCGCCGCGGUAA